AUGCAGGCUAAUGGAGCAUGCUCUAUCUGGGACAUUGCUAGUCUUAUGACAGAGGGAGAAGACAGCGAUGCUGUGAUCUGGAAAGCCAUGUGCUUAGACAGUGAAGCCAUUGGAUGGAUGCCUCCUGGUUUACUGAGUUCCCAAAGAGGGGACAGAUGCUCGGGAGUUGCCCAAUUGCCAUAGCACUUGUGUGAGCAAGAAAUUCAACUUUGAGUUUUCGAAGAACUCCAGGAAGUGGCUACAGAGUAAAGUAGGAUCCUGAUACUGGUAGGGAGGCUUCUGCAAUAACGAUCUAGGGGUGACCAAAGUAGUAUUGAUUACAAGCAAACCUUGAAAUGUGAUCAACCUACAGCUCAGUUCAGCUCAGCUCUCUCCAGUUCCUCCAUGGGAGCUUUGUUCUUCCAUUUGAAGGGAGUAACUAAGACUGCAGACAUCCUCCACAGUAGAAAAAAUUUGGUUUCCAGUCACAUCAAUUAAAAAGAAAAAUUUGGGACAAUCUGUUCCCUCCUCCCACUUUUUCAAAGGCAAACAGGAAACCUUGGGAUAUUUGUGUGUAAUAGACACUGCUUGAGGCUGAGCAGUCACUCAUCUUUCUCAAGGGUCCUUCCUUGCCUCCCUUUCCCCAAACGUUCAUAUAUUUGCUCUAAAGACCCCUUCAAUUUAGGUCCAGCUGACCCAAGCUGGGGAAGGUUAUCUUUCUUUUUUACCUCUCCUUCAGGUGAGAAACAAGGCUGACAAAUUUAUGGAUUUCAGUUAUUUCUUUAAUAAA
rnacentral:lncRNA from 1 species